rnacentral:rRNA from 1 species
CUACGGGGUGCUGCAGUGGGGAAUUUUGGACAAUGGGCGAAAGCCUGAUCCAGCAAUGCCGCGUGUGUGAAGAAGGCCUUCGGGUUGUAAAGCACUUUUGUCCGGAAAGAAAUGGCUCUGGUUAAUACCUGGGGUCGAUGACGGUACCGGAAGAAUAAGGACCGGCUAACUACGUGCCAGCAGCCGCGGUAAUACGUAGGGUCCAAGCGUUAAUCGGAAUUACUGGGCGUAAAGCGUGCGCAGGCGGUUGUGCAAGACCGAUGUGAAAUCCCCGAGCUUAACUUGGGAAUUGCAUUGGUGACUGCACGGCUAGAGUGUGUCAGAGGGGGGUAGAAUUCCACGUGUAGCAGUGAAAUGCGUAGAGAUGUGGAGGAAUACCGAUGGCGAAGGCAGCCCCCUGGGAUAACACUGACGCUCAUGCACGAAAGCGUGGGGAGCAAACAGGAUUAGAUACCCUAGUAGUC